ACCUCCCACCCGUGUUUACUGUAACCUUAGUUGCUUCGGCGGGCCCGCCUUUAAGGCCGCCGGGGGGCAUCAGCCCCCGGGCCCGCGCCCGCCGGAGACACCACGAACUCUGUCUGAUCUAGUGAAGUCUGAGUUGAUUGUAUCGCAAUCAGUUAAAACUUUCAACAAUGGAUCUCUUGGUUCCGGCAUCGAUGAAGAACGCAGCGAAAUGCGAUAACUAGUGUGAAUUGCAGAAUUCCGUGAAUCAUCGAGUCUUUGAACGCACAUUGCGCCCCCUGGUAUUCCGGGGGGCAUGCCUGUCCGAGCGUCAUUGCUGCCCAUCAAGCACGGCUUGUGUGUUGGGUCGUCGUCCCCUCUUCGGGGGGGACGGGCCCCAAAGGCAGCGGCGGCACCGCGUCCGAUCCUCGAGCGUAUGGGGCUUUGUCACCCGCUCUGUAGGCCCGGCCGGCGCUUGCCGAACGCAAAACAACCAUUCUUUCCAGGUUGACCUCGGAUCAGGUAGGGAUACCCGCUGAACUUAAGCAUAUCAAUAAGCGGAGGAAAAGAAACCAACCGGGAUUGCCUCAGUAACGGCGAGUGAAGCGGCAAGAGCUCAAAUUUGAAAGCUGGCUCCUUCGGGGUCCGCAUUGUAAUUUGCAGAGGAUGCUUCGGGUGCGGCCCCUGUCUAAGUGCCCUGGAACGGGCCGUCAGAGAGGGUGAGAAUCCCGUCUGGGAUGGGGUGUCCGCGCCCGUGUGAAGCUCCUUCGACGAGUCGAGUUGUUUGG
rnacentral:misc_RNA from 1 species